CGAGGUACCGAAGGCCGGUCACCCCGACCC
rnacentral:sRNA from 1 species